CAGUUAUUGGUCAACAACAGGAUGCGAGACUAAUAGUGCGACAUAUUUUGUCAAAUGCACUUGUGACCAUACAACCAGCUACGCGAUCCUUUUUCAGACCAGCGAAUCUGAUAAUGAUGCGAUUUCUGAACCAAAUAAAAUUGCCAUGAGCGUGAUAACAUACAUUGGAUUAAUAAUUUCAACUGUAUUCCUGUUAGCAGCCUUAGUCAUUCAAAAUAUAUUACCGGAGUUGAGGAAGUCAACGCGCUUUCAAAUACUAACACAUCUAAUCAUUGGUGCUAUAUUAAGCAACAUCGCCUUCCUGACGUUAGAACUUGCGCACGAUCAGAAGGUAAUAUUAUAUGUAUUUCCUUGUCUACAUUCUGAAAACAUUUUACUUUGGAAUAAUCUUGAGAUUUUAUACUCCAGAGUAUUAUAUGGGCAACCAGUAAUCCAGUAUUUUGCUUGUAUAUUAAUAUUAAAGGCAGGACAUGUAGUUUAAUUAUGGACUGUAAGCCCAAAAUUUAGACCUGGGCAUAUGUUUUAUUUGAUAUAACGAACGAUUGUAUUUUAUAUAACGAUAGGCCCACUGUCAUUUUCUGUAAAAACUACAUACACAUGCAAUUUGACCUCCUCGAAUUUGUUACUUGUUUGAAAUUGGAGUCGAAAUUUUAAAAAAAAUACAUAAAUAAACUUACUGAGCUUUUUAAUACACUUUUUUUUAAAUAAAUAAAACACAUUUAACACAAUAAAACACCAAACUGAAAUUGCUUUAAAAUAUAAGAACAAAAUAAUUUUAAACAAAUAGAAAAUCCAACAAAUAAGACUAGUCAUACACCGUAAGAAUGUUAUACUGUCAAAUUCUGUUUAUUUUUUUCUGUUUAAAUUAUCUGUAAUUUAUAUGCUGUAGGUGUGAUUAUAUACCCUCUAUAAUGCAGUAUAUGUAAUAUAGGCCUAGGCCUAUUGCUGUACAAUACAAUGGCGGAUCAAAUAGAAAUAGAGGGAUGCCAGAGAAAAACUUUUACAGAUAGGGUGUCAAAUACGACCUUUCUCCCCACUUCGGAUCAGCCACUGCAAUAAUAAUCCAAUAUUUGAAAAGUGUGUAAAAUAAGAACAAAAUAAGAUCAUUUUGAGCCUGACAUUAGCAAAAAAAAAA